rnacentral:rRNA from 1 species
GACGAAGGAUGCAAGCGUUAUCCGGAUUCAUUGGGUUUAAAGGGAGCGUAGGUGGCCCAGUAAGUCAGUGGUGAAAUCUCCUCGCUUAACGAGGAAAUUGCCAUUGAUACUGCAGGGCUUGAGUACAGUUGCCGUUGGCGGAAUAUGACAUGUAGUGGUGAAAUACUUAGAUAUGUCAUAGAACACCGAUUGCGAAGGCAGCUGACGAAACUGUAACUGACACUGAGGCUCGAAAGUGUGGGGAUCAAACAGG